ensembl:miRNA xtr-mir-153-1 xtr-mir-153-1
CACGGCUGCCCUUGUCAUUUUUGUGAUUUGCAGCUUGUAAUUUUGGUCUCAGUUGCAUAGUCACAAAAGUGAUCAUGGGCAGGUGGG